rnacentral:snRNA from 1 species
CAGAUCUGGAACUUCUUCAGUCG